rnacentral:rRNA from 1 species
UACUGGGCGUAAAGCGCGUGUAGGUGGUUUGGUAAGUAGGGCGUGAAAGCUCCUGGCUCAACUGGGAGAGGACGUUCUAAACUGCCAAGCUUGAGGAUGGUAGAGGGAGGUGGAAUUCCGGGUGCAGCGGUGGAAUGCGCAGAUAUCCGGAGGAACACCAGUGGCGAAGGCGGCCUCCUGGACCACUCCUGACACUCAGACGCGAAAGCUAGGGUAGCAAACGGGAUUAGAGACCCCGGUAGUCCUAGCCCUAAACGAUGUAGACUUGGCGUCGGUGGUUUAAUCGCCAUCGGUGUCGUAGCUAACGCGUUAAGUCUACCGCCUGGGGACUACGGCCGCAAGGUUAAAACUCAAAGGAAUUGACGGGUCCCCGCACAAGCAGCGGAGCGUGUGGUUUAAUUCGAUGCUACACGAAGAACCUUACCUGGGUUUGACAUAGAGGUAGUAGGGAAGCGAAAGCGGACCGACCCUUCGGGGAGCCUCUACAGGUGUUGCAUGGCUGUCGUCAGCUCGUGUCGUGAGAUGUUCGGUUAAGUCCGCUAACGAGCGCAACCCUCGCUGUGUGUUACAAGUGUCACACGGUACUGCCGAUAUUAAGUCGGAGGAAGGUGGGGAUGACGUCAAGUCAGCAUGACCUUUAUAUCCAGGGCUACACACACGCUACAAUGGCCAGUACAAUGGGUUGCCGAGCCGCGAGGCGGAGCCAAUCCUAAAAAGCUGGCCUCAGUUCAGACUGCAGUCUGCAACUCGACUGCAUGAAGUUGGAGUUGCUAGUAACCGCAGGUCAGCAAUACUGCGGUGAAUACGUUCCCGGGGAUUGCACACACCGCCCGUAAGGGCG